ensembl:snRNA U6 U6 spliceosomal RNA
GUGCUUGCUUCGGCAGCACAUAUACUAAAAUUGAAACGAUGCAGAGAAGAUUAGCAUGACCCCUGCAAAUCUGUGAAGCAUUCCAUUUUUUU